ACCCUAAUCAACCCCGGGCAAUAAAAUAAAAUUGUUCAAAAACCCUAAAAGCAUACCUCACUUCCUCGUACAGAACCACCCCCUUUCCUGGCCGACCAGCUCCGCUUAGCUCCGCCACCGACAAUUGUCCACGGUGGUGGAGAACCACCAAAUGCCACCAAAAUAACACCCCUGAUUCCUUUUCACCUCCUCUACCCAAAUCCAUAGUCUAUUUCUCUCAAAUGCUAGCCGUUCUCUUCAAAUCUUAGUUUGAAAUUUUCCGGCCAAGACACAACCUUGUCCAAACCGGCCCAAAUUUACACCACACAAUCCCCAGACCUCCCUAAUCCCUAAUCCCUAAUUAAAUCGGCUCAAAUCCAGUCAGAAUUGGACGAAUCAUGGAUCUAGGGUUCGUGCAGUUCUGGGCUAUUUUUGAAGAUUUUCAAGUCGAUUGAUUUCUAGUUAUUAUAAUAGGUCUAUUUUUGGCGAAAUAGAUGUAUAAUAUUAACCGGAAGUCAAUUUUGGAUGUGUUUCUCAUAUGGUCCGAAUUUCAGUAAGUUUUCUUCUAUGUAUGUUCUUUAGUUUUUCAUUUAGUUUGAUUCGUUGUUUUGUCUAUUCAAUCGAGCAUAGUUUUUAAUUUCCAGUCUAGUUUAGCAGCAUCUCAUCUCUAUGAUUGUCAUAAAUGUUUAUGUUAAUUUUCAUUUCUGUGUUUAAAUUCUGAUUCGAUUUUGGUUUUGUUAGUUUGAGUUGUCAAUUGGUUCAAUUAGUCGUUAGUUUAAUUCGGUUUAUCUUUUGUUCUGUUCAUGCGAUAUUGAUUUGGGAUUUGGCCCUGAUUCCAGUAAUUAGUUUAGUUUUAUGUGUUUGAUGGAGGAUUUUUUAGUCUAGUAAUAUAAAGUUUAAAUUUCUUUCAAUCUGUUUAAAUAAUAUUUUAGUUUGUUUUGUCCAUCUGGAACUGAUUUGGAUUGAUUGCAGUUCAUGAGUUUGUUUGUUAGUUGUUAAUUGUUUGUUAGUGUUAUUUGGUAUUGAUUUUGAGUUGGUUUAGGUGAUUGGUUAUAGCUGUUGAAGGUUAUAUUAGAAUCAGUAAUUUCAACGGGUUUCCAGGGGUAGUUUGGGCACGGUAAAUGGCUGAUUUAUCAAGAACAGUAAUUUCAAAACAAAAGCAAGGGCAGCAUAGGUAUUGUAUGGGUAGAAGAACACCCUAGGGCCUUCUAGAAUAGGCUUUUAGUGUAGAUUUCAGCCAACUUAGGACACUAGCUUGGGUAACAAGUUAAAAGACGAGGGAUUACAGCUGAAAAAGGGAGGGACUAAUAUGUAAACAGAAAAUUGAGGGCUGCCCUUAUCUUUGCCCAUAAAAGGGCAUUCUCAUGCCUUAGCACACAAGGUUUUGGAGCCCAAAAAUUCCUCAAAGUGUGCUCUCCAAGUUUCAGAUAUAAGAUCUGAAAUUCAAACUCCAAAACCGUAAAAACACUGGAGUUCCUCCUAAAAAACCAUGCAUCUCUUUCAGCUAUCUAGCAUUCCGAAGCUUUCCCUCUUUGUUUUUCCAUUAAGAAGUAGAAAAUUCAAAACAAAAAAAAAAACAAACGAAAAUUGAAAAUAAAAAAUACUUACUGUUCCAUCAGAAAACUUUAGAUUUCUAGAUACUGAAUUGCCUUUCCUGGUUUGUUACUUGCUCACUGAAGUUACUGGGGUUCAUGAUUGAGUUGAUUCUGAGUUUAUUUGAGUGGUGUUGCUUGAUUUUAAAACACUCCUGGGUUCUAUAUGUGUUUUUUGGGUUCAAGCUUACAUAACUUUAUGGCUGAUGAGUUUACAUUGCUGCUGUUAAUCCUUCCUGCCUCGACUGACUCUGUUUCUUCAUUAUAAUCUCGAGUCCACGUACACAUUCAAAUUUGUAACCUCAUUGAUGAAAUAAAGUGCAAUGGCAUUUUGAGGCUUGUUGGAGUUUCUAUUAUGUUUUCAGUUCCAUGAAGAAUUUUAGGAUUUGGCAGUAUUAUACUCAUUGCUUUAUGAUUUGUAGUGGUUUAAUUUUACUGAGUUGGAAUUGUAAUUGCUUGAUUUGUAUUGGACUGUAAUGCUAUUUUAUGUAGUUUGGACUGCUUGAUACCUGUUUCAUUUAGCGUAGCCGUUGAAGUAUGAUGUCGAAUGCAUGAAAACUGGAAUAAGGUCAGCAAGUUGGUUAUCUUCGAAGUCCAGUUCAUUGAAGAACUAGUGUCAUUGAUCCAGUAGUCAAAUACAUUAUAAAGCUUGGUAAUUACAGCUCCACAUAAAUUAGUUCAUUCGAAAUAUCAGAAUUGUUGAAUUUAAAUUGACAUAAAUGAGAGGUUAAACCUCACUGAUCUUCCCAUGCUUUGUUAAUCAUUUGGAUCGAUCAGUUUGUGUAGAAAGGUGUUGACGUUCUUAUUGCAUUAAAUUGAUUAUUGAUAUUGGGAUUCACGCAUUAAUUGAAAAGCCCGAGGUUUGCAAACAGAAUGGGCUACGAACGCUGGCCCAAACUUGACCUGGAAUUUAAUUGUACGCAGGGAUUCGAACUCAGAUUCCUUCGCUCAUGUAUGCCUGUAUUUGAGCCGUUUUUGUUUGGGCUGGCUUCAGGCCCACUUGCUGCAGUUAAGUCCCACGUUGAACCUUUUGGUUCAUUAAAUCGGGCCUGUCUUAAAGAUUGCAAUUUAUGGUUUAUGUAACAUUUUGGGUUUGGUAGCGGGUUCAAACUAAAAGGAUCUUCCUUUUGUUUGGAUUCGGACUCGAACUUGAAGCCCGAAUUCGAAUGCUAAUUAACUAGGGUUUUUUUUUUUUUUUUUAUCAUUUAGAGACAAAACAAAAAUAGAGAAUC
rnacentral:lncRNA from 1 species